rnacentral:tRNA from 1 species
GCUUGUCCCUGUCAGUCGGUAGAGCACAAGGCUCUUAACCUUGUGGUCGUGGGUUCGAGCCCCACGGUGGGCA